AUGUUUCUCAGUUUGUUCUGUCAGGUUAGGGGGAUGUUUCUCAUUUUGGUCUGUCAGGUUAUGGGAUGUUUCUCAUUUUGGUCUGUCAGGUUAUGGGGAUGUUUCUCAGUUUGGUCUGUCAGGUUGUGGGGAUGUUUCUCAUUUUGGUCUGUCAGGUUAUGGGGAUGUUUCUCAGUUUGUUCUGUCAGGUUAUGGGGAUGUUUCUCAUUUUGGUCUGUCAGGUUAUGGGGAUGUUUCUCAUUUUGGUCUGUCAGGUUAUGGGGAUGUUUCUCAGUUUGUUCUGUCAGGUUAUGGGGAUGUUUCUCAUUUUGGUCUGUCAGGUUAUGGGAUGUUUCUCAUUUUGGUCUGUCAGGUUAUGGGGAUGUUUCUCAGUUUGGUCUGUCAGGUUGUGGGGAUGUUUCUCAGUUUGUUCUGUCAGGUUAUGGGAUGUUUCUCAUUUUGGUCUGUCAGGUUAUGGGGAUGUUUCUCAGUUUGUUCUGUCAGGUUAGGGGGAUGUUUCUCAGUUUGUUCUGUCAGGUUAUGGGAUGUUUCUCAGUUUGUUCUGUCAGGUUAGGGGGAUGUUUCUCAUUUUGGUCUGUCAGGUUAUGGGAUGUUUCUCAUUUUGGUCUGUCAGGUUAUGGGGAUGUUUCUCAGUUUGGUCUGUCAGGUUGUGGGGAUGUUUCUCAUUUUGGUCUGUCAGGUUAUGGGGAUGUUUCUCAGUUUGUUCUGUCAGGUUAUGGGGAUGUUUCUCAGUUUGUUCUGUCAGGUUAUGGGAUGUUUCUCAUUUUGGUCUGUCAGGUUAUGGGGAUGUUUCUCAGUUUGUUCUGUCAGGUUAUGGGGAUGUUUCUCAGUUUGUUCUGUCAGGUUAUGGGGAUGUUUCUCAUUUUGGUCUGUCAGGUUAUGGGGAUGUUUCUCAUUUUGGUCUGUCAGGUUAUGGGGAUGUUUCUCAGUUUGGUCUGUCAGGUUGUGGGGAUGUUUCUCAGUUUGUUCUGUCAGGUUAUGGGAUGUUUCUCAUUUUGGUCUGUCAGGUUAUGGGGAUGUUUCUCAUUUUGGUCUGUCAGGUUAUGGGGAUGUUUCUCAUUUUGGUCUGUCAGGUUAUGGGGAUGUUUCUCAUUUUGGUCUGUCAGGUUAUGGGAUGUUUCUCAUUUUGGUCUGUCAGGUUAUGGGAUGUUUCUCAUUUUGGUCUGUCAGGUUAUGGGGAUGUUUCUCAGUUUGUUCUGUCAGGUUAUGGGAUGUUUCUCAUUUUGGUCUGUCAGGUUAUGGGGAUGUUUCUCAGUUUGGUCUGUCAGGUUGUGGGGAUGUUUCUCAGUUUGUUCUGUCAGGUUAUGGGAUGUUUCUCAUUUUGGUCUGUCAGGUUAUGGGGAUGUUUCUCAUUUUGGUCUGUCAGGUUAUGGGGAUGUUUCUCAUUUUGGUCUGUCAGGUUAUGGGGAUGUUUCUCAUUUUGGUCUGUCAGGUUAUGGGAUGUUUCUCAUUUUGGUCUGUCAGGUUAUGGGAUGUUUCUCAUUUUGGUCUGUCAGGUUAUGGGGAUGUUUCUCAGUUUGUUCUGUCAGGUUAUGGGAUGUUUCUCAUUUUGGUCUGUCAGGUUAUGGGGAUGUUUCUCAGUUUGUUCUGUCAGGUUAUGGGGAUGUUUCUCAUUUUGGUCUGUCAGGUUAUGGGAUGUUUCUCAUUUUGGUCUGUCAGGUUAGGGGGAUGUUUCUCAGU
rnacentral:lncRNA from 1 species